rnacentral:lncRNA from 1 species
AUAAUACAGUCUGAUGACUUUAUCCAAAGGCAGCUCUCAUCAGCCCCAUACCCAGAGUCUAUGAUCUUUUCAAGAACUCAUGAAAAUGUUUGAGUGAUUGACAGACAUAGUUUUUGGCUCCCAAAUUAAAAAAUAAAAUGAAAGGAAACUGCUAAAUCAAAAUCAAUGCACAUUCACCUAAAUGCAUAUAAAACAUAACUCUUAAUCAACUUCAUUAAUUCUCUAACAGAAAUCAAUAACAUUUUCAUUAAGCUUGAAAAGUAUAUAAUGGUUAGCCAGGAGAUUUUGAUAUGGGUAGGGGGGAUGGUGGGGGAAGGAGAGGUCAAGAGGAAUAGCCACCAUUCUGACAAGACUGAGGGCUCCUUGGGAAGAACUAAGGGCCUCUUCUGUGGUUAAGCGAAAGGAGUCCCAUGGUGGAGGUGGUCCAAGGCAGUGGUGACUGGGGACAGCAGUGCAUAGGUGAGCAGGGGCUCUAGGGUACAUUGUGAGCUGCUUUCUCCACAGCCAACUUUAGAUCUACAGGUGUUGCUAUUAUUUUGUUUCCUGUUUAUUAAAUCUCUUUCUAAGGUAUUUUGCUAGUACUCUUACUUGGACAGAGUUUUUGAGUCUGGCCUUGAAGUCAGACAGCCCAGGUUCAGAUUCCCCACUAUGUCUGCAGAUUUCAAAUUCCCUCAUGUUGAGCUCUCCCAGCCUCUGUUUUCUCAUCCAUCAAAUGGAUUAUUAAUACUUGCUUCCAAGGCUGGUGUAAACAUAUUAAGUAAUGUGGGAGCUCUUAGCAUAAGGCCUGACGUAGAGUACAUAAAAUUUUUCCUAUCCUAAAUAUCCAAGUCAUUAAAAAUAGCAUGCAUUUUACACAUAUUACUUGAGUAUGUUCCUCAUCCUUUGGUCAUUUAAGAAAAGAGUCUUCAAAACUGGGUAUGAAAGUGGAAAGUGAAGUCUGGUAUCCACAUUUAAAACAGGAAAAGGUAUCUAUUUACAGAUGAUAUGAUAUUAAAUAUGGAAAGCCACAAAAAAUUAAGUGAGUUUGGCAAGGUUGAAGGAUACAAUCUUAUACAAAAAUAAUUUGUAUUUCUAUACGUGCAGUGAACAAUCCGAAGUGAAAUUAAGAAUCCCACUUACAGUAGCAUGUGGUGACCUAAAUGGGAAGGAAAUCCAAAAAAGAGUGGAUAUUUGUAUACGUACAAUUCACUCUGCUGUACAACAGAAACUAGCACAACAUUGUAAAGCAACUGUACUCC